rnacentral:rRNA from 1 species
UACGUAGGGGGCAAGCGUUGUCCGGAUUUAUUGGGCGUAAAGAGCGUGUAGGCGGCCAUGUAGGUCCGUUGUGAAAACUCGAGGCUCAACCUCGAGACGCCGAUGGAAACCAUGUGGCUAGAGUCCGGAAGAGGAGAGUGGAAUUCCUGGUGUAGCGGUGAAAUGCGCAGAUAUCGGGAGGAACACCAAUGGCGAAGGCAGCUCGCUGGGACGGUACUGACGCUGAGACGCGAAAGCGUGGGGAGCAAACAGG